rnacentral:sRNA from 1 species
CCAAUGCCGCAUUGCGGUAGGGGGCGGACCGAUAAAGGUUCGACGAAGGCGCGUAGCGCCGAAGAACGUCGCGCCUUGGCGCGGCGGCCCGCAGGGCGAGGGCUUUAGCCCGAGUACCCCUACCGCCCCAGCCA